rnacentral:rRNA from 1 species
UACGUAGGUGGCAAGCGUCAUCCGGAUUUAUUGGGUGUAAAGGGCGUGUAGGCGGGAGCGCAAGUCAGAUGUGAAAACUCAGGGCUCAACCCUGAGCCUGCAUUUGAAACUGUGUUUCUUGAGUGCUGGAGAGGCAAUCGGAAUUCCGUGUGUAGCGGUGAAAUGCGUAGAUAUACGGAGGAACACCAGUGGCGAAGGCGGAUUGCUGGACAGUAACUGACGCUGAGGCGCGAAAGCGUGGGGAGCAAACAGG